rnacentral:tRNA from 1 species
ACAUAGCUCAGCUGGAUAGAGCAUCAGAUUCCGAUUCUGAGGGUCGCGGGUUCAAAUCCUGUUGUGU